GGGAACACACAAGUAACUCUCUUGUUAAAUUAAUUAAACAAGGAGGUCAUUAGACUGAGAUGGCUGUAACACCAUGGUGGCCUACAUAAGCAAGCCAAAAUC